CCCCACACACACUCCUGGCCGAGCCACAGCAGUUCUUCAGUGGCGAGCUUUAUGUCUUGUCCCAGCUAAAGCUGCCAGUUGAAGAACUGCUGAGCUCUGCUCCUGUCUUCGAGGACGAGG
rnacentral:pre_miRNA from 15 species